GAGAACCUAGUAAACAUAUUACAUAGCCUUGUCGUGGCUAAAUCACAGCCGCUGUGGUCCUCA
rnacentral:tRNA from 1 species